UGAUAUUCUCAGUCAUUUCUCAGGCUCCUGUGGAUGACGACAACAGCUACUCAGAAAUAUGAAUCAUAUAUUAGCCUACAUGAUAUUGAUGUUGUUAUAUAGUGUUAAUUGGACGAAGUCGAUCGCCAUUCUUAAAUGGCGUGAACCUGUAGAAACAGAUUUUCAUUGAAUCAUUAUUGAUACAACCUUUACAUUAUAUAUGCACUACAACAAUAAUCUUGCUGCUAUAAUCUUGCUACUAUAAAUCUACAAUUACGACUCUACACCUAUGAUAUGUAUUAAAUGCAAAGAUACACAAUAAGUGUGAAUGAAAUCAAUUAGACAGAUAAUGAGGAAGAGAUUGAGGCAUGAUAGGAGGAGAAGAAUUAUUAACUCUAACACCCCCCUUUAAAUUGAGCGGCACUGAACGCACAAGUUUGCCACAAAGAAGAUGAUGGCGUUGCCUGUGUAGGGGUUUGGUAAGGAGAUCAGCUGGUUGAUCUACUGAUGGGACAAAAUGAACUUGGUGACUCCCAAGUGCGACUUUUUCACGAACAAAGUGAUAAGGAGUCAGCAAUAGACUUCGCAUGCCGGAGAUACACAUCAACAGGUUGGGAUCCUUUCUAGAGCUCAAGGAGUUGCAACUUGAGACUGGAGGCACUAGCAUUGGAUUUCUGGAAAAAAUGGCGAGCCAAGCAAUCCCAAACCUCUUUAGAGGUGUCAUAACCAACAGUGAGAUCAGAAACGCUGUCAGUCAAUGAGGUAAUCAUGAUAUUGAAGAUCUGUUGAUCCGUGGUAAACCAUUUGACAUACUCGGGAUUAGGGAUGGUCUUGGCUGGAACAGUCUCAGUGGCAGUGGUCUCGGUGGUGAGAGAGGGCGCAGGGAUGGAGCCAUCAACAUAGCUCCAAAGGCCAGCACCAUUGAGGUAUGAACGAAUUUGACGAGUCCAUUUAAGAUAGUUGGUUUCAGAUAAUUUGAUGAAUUGGGAUGUGUUUUGAGAAGGGUUUGUGGGGUUGGCAGCCAUGGGAGAAUGAGAGGAGGAAGACUGGAAGAGGAGAGACACUGAAAAGGAAUGAAGAGGAAGGAAAAGGUAAGGACCUAGACCUAGGCUGAUACCAUGUAAAGGAAUCUUCUUUGUGGCAAACUUGUGCGUUCAGUGCCGCUCAGUUUGAAGGGGGGGUGUUAGAGUUAAUAAUUAUUCUCCUCCUAUCAUGCCCCAUUCUCUUCCUCAUUAUCUACCUAAUUGAUUUCAUUCACACUUAUUGUGUAUCUUUGCAUUCAAUACAUAUCAUAGGUGUAGAGUCGUAAUUGUAGAUUUAUAGCAGCAAAAUUAUUGUUGUAAUGCAUAUAUAAUGUAAAGGUUGUAUCGAUAAUGAUUCAAUGAAAAUCUGUUUCUACAUGACAGAACCAAUAACCCAUGGAGAUCUAUAUAUCAUCAUCUGUGUAGAAAUUCCUACAUUCGGGCUCCAACGAAUCAUAACGUAAAUAAAACCAAUACAAGCA
rnacentral:lncRNA from 1 species